GCCGGGGUGGCGGAAUUGGUAGACGCGCCGGAUUCAAAAUCCGGUGGGGUUAAACCCGUGAGAGUUCGAGUCUCUCUCCCGGCA
rnacentral:tRNA from 1 species